rnacentral:rRNA from 1 species
UACGUAGGCAGCGAGCGUUGUUCGGAAUUACUGGGCGUAAAGAGUGUGUAGGCGGUGCUCUAAGUUCGGUGUGAAAUCUCCUGCUUAACUGGGAGGGUGCGCCGGAAACUGGGGUGCUCGAGCGUGGGAGAGGAAAGCGGAAUUCCUGGUGUGAGCGGUGAAAUGCGUAGAUAUCAGGAGGAACACCUGUGGUGUAGACAGCUUUCUGGACCAUUGCUGACGCUGAGACACGAAAGCGUGGGUAGCAAACAGG